GAGAUCAUGACCUGAGCCGAAGUCAAGUUGGCUGCUUAACCGACUGAGCCACCCAGGGAAAGGUUGGAUAUGUGGCCUUUGGAUUCCUGAUGAUGGACAAAUGUUCACACACACUGUCUACUGCUGGCAAAAUAACCCAGUGAAACUGGACAUCCAAGAAUUGGAAUGAUGCAAGCUGCUCUGGAAGCUAAAACCGUGCUGCCAGAAGUGGGUGAGGAAGCAGAAUAUCAGCAGGUCAGAAGGUAGCCCUGAGUUCUGUGGGGAUAGGACCCAGAUAUUCAUUCAAGACUGGAAGGCCUCAACCAGGAUGUUGGUGACCAGAGUCCUGUGGAAGCAGGAGACUGGAUGAGAUGGACUGAGGGCCCUUACAGUGCUGAGAUUCAGUGAUUCCAGAGGGGUGAGGGUGGGGGCUAUUCUGCAUCUUGGGGCUGGCUACUGAAUGAAGUGGACGACAACAACAACAACAACAACAACAACAACAACAAAAUAGAUAUAUAUAUAUAUAUGUUACAGCAGCCUUGAAAAUAAACCGGUAUGUGGCCACA